UACGUAGGGUGCGAGCGUUGUCCGGCAUUACUGGGCGUAAAGAGCUCGUAGGUGGUUUGCCGCGUCGUCUGUGAAAUUCCGGGGCUUAACUCCGGGCGUGCAGGCGAUACGGGCGAACUGGAGUGCUGUAGGGGAGACUGGAAUUCCUGGUGUAGCGGUGGAAUGAGCAGAUAUCAGGAGGAACACCGAUGGCGAAGGCAGGUCUCUGGGCAGUUACUGACACUGAGGCGC
rnacentral:rRNA from 1 species